rnacentral:tRNA from 1 species
AGCAGUGUGGCUCAGUGGAAAGAGCCCUAGCUUGGGAGUCAGGGGUCAUGGGUUCAAAUUCCAGCUCUGCCA